GGGCGAUUUGGGCGGGGUUUGUGAGGUUUUGGGGUCACUCUCAUGGUCCUGUUUUCCCCUCUGCUGGUUCUUUGUCACCUCUCGUGGUCCUGUGUCACCCCCAGGUGACAGGGAUGGACAUUUUGGGGACACCAGGGUGGUUGGGGACAUUCAGUGGUGGUGCCUGGGUGUGAAAAGAGAAGAAUUUUCCU